GGUAUUUAUCAAACAAUUUUUUUGGGUUUUUGAUUUGUUUUGCAUGUAAAAUCAGAUGCUUUUACGUUAUCGAUCCGACGAAAUCAAAGCCGAAAGAUUGAUCCUGGUGGAAAUCUUAUGUUCUUAUUGCGACGAUAUGGAAACGUGUUGGGAUGACUCCAAGUGAAUUACUAUUUUUUUUGAAAGUUUUGGAGUUCAAUGGACUACAUUACUUCAAAGGUUUUCUCAAGUGGACACAUACAUCCAUACAAAUGAAAGAAAAAAAAUCAUUAAACAUUGAUUAAGGAACUACCAAGUUUCGCGAUCCAAAGAGUGAAAAAGUCCAAACAGAAUGAAGAUACGUGUUUUAUAUCAACGUAAAGCUUGACAUGUUGUAUAUUGUUGUGACACUUAUAAAAUUAUAUAAACAUAAAGUUUAAUAUGUUUUAUAUUCUUCAGGAAUUGCCAAGUAAUAGGAUUCAAGCUGUUACAUGCAUCAAUAGACUUAGGAGAUAAGUGUUUUACUCAAUAAAAUUUACAAUUUAAAUAUCUGUUUAUUGUUAUUCCUUGAAAACAAAUAUAAUGAAUCUAAUGUACGUGCAACAAAUGGAUUCUAACUUUUUUUUUUUUGCAGUUACGAUACAUACUGGAAAAAAAAUAAUAGAGAUGAGGAGAUAUAGAGAUGCAUGAGACAUGAUCCAAAAGAAAUCAUGGUAAUGUAUUACUACUCAAUUCUAAUUACUGUAGUACUGUAUUUGGAGGGAACUGAUUUUUGGAUUGCUAUUUAUCACAAUACAUGUUAUUUAGGUAUUAUAUAGUAGAAUGCAAACCUCUGUGGAACUCAAAAGCUCAGAAAUUGAUUUUUUUUCUUCAUAUUCUUUCCAAUUGUCCAGUUUGUUUUGAGCAUCAUUGUGUUCGCUGGAGUCACUUUUUCACAGAAGGACGAUAGAUUUUUCUUGGAAAACGUUUUAUGAGAAU